ensembl:lncRNA
CACCCUUAGUGCCAGGGGUAUGGUCAUUGCCAAAGAGAGGGCCAGACAGCUUAAUACCUCAAAGCCUGCCUGGGCGACUUCCCUGGUGGUCCAGUGGCUAAGACUCCACACUCUCUGCAAGGGGCUUGGGUUUAAUCCCUGAUCAGAGAACUAGAUCCCACAUGCUGCAACUAAGACCCGGCACCGCCAAAUAAAUAAACAUUUUUUUAAAAAUAAAAAGGACAUUUAAAAAAAAAAACCUCCCUGGGCCAGAGCACAACACCAAAGCCCAGUCUCCUUUCAGUGCAGCAUAGGCUCACUGUGGGAUUCAGCCCAGGGCUGCACGACAGAAGAAAAGAGACAUGGAUAGUUAGAGGGCAAAAGGGACGAGUGGUCUCUUAUGUUGAUUGGAAAUCACAAGUUGGGGAAAAAAGGCAAAGAGGAUUGACUGGUUUGGACUGGUCACCUGGAAAGGAGCAACUAUGUGCAUACACACCAGAAGCAUACAACAUGAUAUGGGUCUACGUUCAGCACUGAGAAGCAUCAGAGAUAAAUCUCCCUGGGAACAUUUCAUGUCUGACUGCUUCAGACUUGUUUGCCUAAGGUCAUGUGCUGUACUGUGCUUAGUCGCUCAGUCAUGUCUGACUCUUUGCAACCCCAUGGACUGUGGCCCAACAAACUCCUCUGAGCAAGAAUACUGGAAUGGGUUGCCAUAUCCUCCUCCAGGGAAUCUUCCCAACCAAGGGAUCGAACCCAGGUCUCCUACAUUGCAGGCAGAUUCUUUACCAACUGAGCUAUCAGGGAAGCCUAUAUAUGUAUAUAUAACUGAGUCACUUUCCUGUACAGCAGAAAUUAAACACAGCAUUGUAAAUCAACUAUAUGUCAAUAAUUUUUUUUUAAUUAACAGUCAUAUCCCUGAUAAAAUUUAGGCUGAAGAGCUAUCAUAUAAACGCUAACAGCAUGUAGCCAGACAUGAUGGUUCUAUGGUCCUGGAUGCACUUCAGCAACUUCGUAAAACCCACCUUUAAAAUCAUCUUAGGCCAAUAGCACCCAAUCAUUCUAACAAAAUCAUUCUUCCCUCUCACUGCCACUUCUUUAUUUCCCUUUCUGUUUUUAUUUCUGUUUGUAUCCUCUUUCACCAUUUACAUUCAAGUCAAUUUGUCCAUUUGAAUUAAUUUCCCAGGAAAAUCUUUGGAAAGGUCAGUCUUUUUUAAUUAAUUCCCCUAUAAGAUCCAUGUAACCCACAGCUUGUUUUUUCUGUUACUUCCAUUUUUAUUCUGCCCAA